AGCGAACGCUGGCGGCAGGCCUAACACAUGCAAGUCGAACGAACUCUUCGGAGUUAGUGGCGGACGGGUGAGUAACACGUGGGAACGUGCCUUUUGGUUCGGAAUAACUCAGGGAAACUUGUGCUAAUACCGAAUGUGCCCUUCGGGGGAAAGAUUUAUCGCCAUUAGAGCGGCCCGCGUCGGAUUAGCUAGUUGGUGAGGUAACGGCUGACCAAGGCGUCGAUCAGUAGCUGGUCUGAGAGGAUGACCAGCCACACUGGGACUGAGACACGGCCCAGCCUCCGACGGGAGGGAGCAGUGGGGAGUCUUGCGCAAUGGGCGAAAGCCUGACGCAGCCAUGCCGCGUGAAUGAUGAAGGUCUUAGGAUUGUAAAAUUCUUUCACCGGGGACGAUAAUGACGGUACCCGGAGAAGAAGCCCCGGCUAACUUCGUG
rnacentral:rRNA from 1 species